rnacentral:rRNA from 1 species
CCUACGGGGAGCUGCAGUGGGGAAUAUUGCACAAUGGGGGGAACCCUGAUGCAGCAACGCCGCGUGGGUGAAGAAGUACUUCGGUAUGUAAAGCCCUGUCAGCAGGGAAGAAAAUGACGGUACCUGACCAAGAAGCACCGGCUAACUACGUGCCAGCAGCCGCGGUAAUACGGAGGGGGCAAGAGUUAUCCGGAUUUACUGGGUGUAAAGGGAGCGUAGACGGCAAGGCAAGUCUGGAGUGAAAGCCCGUGGCUCAACCACGGGACUGCUUUGGAAACUGUGUUGCUGGAGUGCAGGAGGGGUAAGCGGAAUUCCUAGUGUAGCGGUGAAAUGCGUAGAUAUUAGGAGGAACACCGGUGGCGAAGGCGGCUUACUGGACUGUAACUGACGUUGAGGCUCGAAGGCGUGGGGAGCAAACAGGAUUAGAUACCCUGGUAGUC